GGUUAAGCGACUAAGCGUACACGGUGGAUGCCCAGGCAGUCAGAGGCGAUGAAGGACGUGCUAAUCUGCGAUAAGCGUCGGUAAGGUGAUAUGAACCGUUAUAACCGGCGAUUUCCGAAUGGGGAAACCCAGUGUGUUUCGACACACUAUCAUUAACUGAAUCCAUAGGUUAAUGAGGCGAACCGGGGGAACUGAAACAUCUAAGUACCCCGAGGAAAAGAAAUCAACCGAGAUUCCCCCAGUAGCGGCGAGCGAACGGGGAGCAGCCCAGAGCCUGAAUCAGUGUGUGUGUUAGUGGAAGCGUCUGGAAAGGCGCGCGAUACAGGGUGACAGCCCCGUACACAAAAAUGCACAUGCUGUGAGCUCGAUGAGUAGGGCGGGACACGUGGUAUCCUGUCUGAAUAUGGGGGACCAUCCUCCAAGGCUAAAUACUCCUGACUGACCGAUAGUGAACCAGUACCGUGAGGGAAAGGCGAAAAGAACCCCGGCGAGGGGAGUGAAAAAGAACCUGAAACCGUGUACGUACAAGCAGUGGGAGCACGCUUAGGCGUGUGACUGCGUACCUUUUGUAUAAUGGGUCAGCGACUUAUAUUCUGUAGCAAGGUUAACCGAAUAGGGGAGCCGAAGGGAAACCGAGUCUUAACUGGGCGUUAAGUUGCAGGGUAUAGACCCGAAACCCGGUGAUCUAGCCAUGGGCAGGUUGAAGGUUGGGUAACACUAACUGGAGGACCGAACCGACUAAUGUUGAAAAAUUAGCGGAUGACUUGUGGCUGGGGGUGAAAGGCCAAUCAAACCGGGAGAUAGCUGGUUCUCCCCGAAAGCUAUUUAGGUAGCGCCUCGUGAAUUCAUCUCCGGGGGUAGAGCACUGUUUCGGCAAGGGGGUCAUCCCGACUUACCAACCCGAUGCAAACUGCGAAUACCGGAGAAUGUUAUCACGGGAGACACACGGCGGGUGCUAACGUCCGUCGUGAAGAGGGAAACAACCCAGACCGCCAGCUAAGGUCCCAAAGUCAUGGUUAAGUGGGAAACGAUGUGGGAAGGCCCAGACAGCCAGGAUGUUGGCUUAGAAGCAGCCAUCAUUUAAAGAAAGCGUAAUAGCUCACUGGUCGAGUCGGCCUGCGCGGAAGAUGUAACGGGGCUAAACCAUGCACCGAAGCUGCGGCAGCGACGCUUAUGCGUUGUUGGGUAGGGGAGCGUUCUGUAAGCCUGUGAAGGUGUGCUGUGAGGCAUGCUGGAGGUAUCAGAAGUGCGAAUGCUGACAUAAGUAACGAUAAAGCGGGUGAAAAGCCCGCUCGCCGGAAGACCAAGGGUUCCUGUCCAACGUUAAUCGGGGCAGGGUGAGUCGACCCCUAAGGCGAGGCCGAAAGGCGUAGUCGAUGGGAAACAGGUUAAUAUUCCUGUACUUGGUGUUACUGCGAAGGGGGACGGAGAAGGCUAUGUUGGCCGGGCGACGGUUGUCCCGGUUUAAGCGUGUAGGCUGGUUUUCCAGGCAAAUCCGGAAAAUCAAGGCUGAGGCGUGAUGACGAGGCACUACGGUGCUGAAGCAACAAAUGCCCUGCUUCCAGGAAAAGCCUCUAAGCAUCAGGUAACAUCAAAUCGUACCCCAAACCGACACAGGUGGUCAGGUAGAGAAUACCAAGGCGCUUGAGAGAACUCGGGUGAAGGAACUAGGCAAAAUGGUGCCGUAACUUCGGGAGAAGGCACGCUGAUAUGUAGGUGAAGUCCCUCGCGGAUGGAGCUGAAAUCAGUCGAAGAUACCAGCUGGCUGCAACUGUUUAUUAAAAACACAGCACUGUGCAAACACGAAAGUGGACGUAUACGGUGUGACGCCUGCCCGGUGCCGGAAGGUUAAUUGAUGGGGUUAGCCGCAAGGCGAAGCUCUUGAUCGAAGCCCCGGUAAACGGCGGCCGUAACUAUAACGGUCCUAAGGUAGCGAAAUUCCUUGUCGGGUAAGUUCCGACCUGCACGAAUGGCGUAAUGAUGGCCAGGCUGUCUCCACCCGAGACUCAGUGAAAUUGAACUCGCUGUGAAGAUGCAGUGUACCCGCGGCAAGACGGAAAGACCCCGUGAACCUUUACUAUAGCUUGACACUGAACAUUGAGCCUUGAUGUGUAGGAUAGGUGGGAGGCUUAGAAGUGUGGACGCCAGUCUGCAUGGAGCCGACCUUGAAAUACCACCCUUUAAUGUUUGAUGUUCUAACGUUGACCCGUAAUCCGGGUUGCGGACAGUGUCUGGUGGGUAGUUUGACUGGGGCGGUCUCCUCCUAAAGAGUAACGGAGGAGCACGAAGGUUGGCUAAUCCUGGUCGGACAUCAGGAGGUUAGUGCAAUGGCAUAAGCCAGCUUGACUGCGAGCGUGACGGCGCGAGCAGGUGCGAAAGCAGGUCAUAGUGAUCCGGUGGUUCUGAAUGGAAGGGCCAUCGCUCAACGGAUAAAAGGUACUCCGGGGAUAACAGGCUGAUACCGCCCAAGAGUUCAUAUCGACGGCGGUGUUUGGCACCUCGAUGUCGGCUCAUCACAUCCUGGGGCUGAAGUAGGUCCCAAGGGUAUGGCUGUUCGCCAUUUAAAGUGGUACGCGAGCUGGGUUUAGAACGUCGUGAGACAGUUCGGUCCCUAUCUGCCGUGGGCGCUGGAGAACUGAGGGGGGCUGCUCCUAGUACGAGAGGACCGGAGUGGACGCAUCACUGGUGUUCGGGUUGUCAUGCCAAUGGCACUGCCCGGUAGCUAAAUGCGGAAGAGAUAAGUGCUGAAAGCAUCUAAGCACGAAACUUGCCCCGAGAUGAGUUCUCCCUGACUCCUUGAGAGUCCUGAAGGAACGUUGAAGACGACGACGUUGAUAGGCCGGGUGUGUAAGCGCAGCGAUGCGUUGAGCUAACCGGUACUAAUGAACCGUGAGGCUUAACCUU
rnacentral:rRNA from 1 species